GUCAGACUCCGGGGCGGUGCGGCAGCGCCAGGCCUGCAGUGCUAAGCGCGGGGUCCCUCGGGGCCCCGAGGGGGUGUGUCUCCUGCCUCUUUAACCUGGCAGGGGCGGUUCAAGUGGCCGGGAAAAUCAGCGAUUUGCAGAGUGGAGGGCUGGUGUUUUGAAAGAGAGGCGGAGGGGAGAGAGGGAUUUCCCCAUCCCCGCUGCACUGGGUCCAUCCCCUCGGUUACUCCUUUUCUCCGCCCGCGAGGCCCGUAACCUGCUGGAACCGUUAUGCAGUAGAGGCGGCCCGGUCCCUUUAAGACCCCGCCGCGCCUGCGCCUUGGGUUCUCCUGACUCCGCCGAGCCUGAUCCUGAGGAGCCAGUCGCGGGCUGGCGCGGGCGCGGGGCUGGCUGGCGGUUGAGACCGCGGCGGUACUGGGAGUGGUUGGUGAGGGUCGCGAGGCUGCCUGAGCUUCUGAGUGAGCAUGGCGCUUUUGGAACGCGGGACUGGCGACCUGCUGCGCCAGGAGCUGGGCCGAGGCGCGGCGGCGCGGCUGCUGGCUGCCCUCUGGAUGGGAAGUUACCGCGAAGUCCAACCCAGCCUUUCCGAGGCAAUCUGAAGGCAAAUCCUGUUUCGACCCAGGCGAAGGUUCCUGGUGAUCCAGGGUCUCACCAGCCGAUUGUCCCUUCCUGUCCUCCUGAGGGUGUCUGGAGCUUCAUUGUUGUGUGCUCUUGGCCUCCAUGCUGGGGUGCCACCGACUCCCACUGUCCAGAGCUUCCGGUGGACUCUCCGAGGCACUGA
rnacentral:lncRNA from 1 species